rnacentral:rRNA from 1 species
CUACGGGAGGCUCCAGUGGGGAAUAUUGGACAAUGGGGGAAACCCUGAUCCAGCAAUGCCGCGUGUGUGAAGAAGGCCUGCGGGUUGUAAAGCACUUUCGGUUGGGAGGACUGCUUCUAGCACUAAUAUUGUUGGAAGUUGACGUUACCUUCAGAAGAAGCACCGGCUAACUCCGUGCCAGCAGCCGCGGUAAUACGGAGGGUGCAUGCGUUAAUCGGAAUUACUGGGCGUAAAGCGCGCGUAGGCGGCUAGAUCAGUCGGGUGUGAAAGCCCCGGGCUUAACCUGGGAACUGCAUCCGAUACUGUCUAGCUUGAGUACAGGAGAGGAGAGUGGAAUUCCACAUGUAGCGGUGAAAUGCGUAGAUAUGUGGAGGAACACCAAUGGCGAAGGCAGCUCUCUGGCCUGAUGCUGACGCUGAGGUGCGAAAGCGUGGGGAGCAAACAGGAUUAGAUACCCCCGUAGUC